rnacentral:rRNA from 1 species
UACGGGGGGGGCAAGCGUUGUUCGGAAUUACUGGGCGUAAAGGGCUCGUAGGCGGCCAACUAAGUCAAACGUGAAAUCCCUCGGCUUAACCGGGGAACUGCGCUUGAUACUGGAUGGCUUGAGAUUGGGAGAGGGAUGCGGAAUUCCAGGUGUAGCGGUGAAAUGCGCAGAUAUCAGGAGGAACACCAAUUGCGAAGGCAGCUCGCUGGGACGUUACUGACGCUGAGACGCGAAAGCGUGGGGAGCAAACAGG